CAGCUCGUGUCGUGAGAUGUUGGGUUAAGUCCCGCAACGAGCGCAACCCUUAUUGUUAGUUGCCAUCAUUCAGUUGGGCACUCUAGCAAGACUGCCGGUGACAAACCGGAGGAAGGUGGGGAUGACGUCAAAUCAUCAUGCCCCUUAUGACCUGGGCUACACACGUGCUACAAUGGGAAGUACAACGAGUUGCGAAGUCGCGAGGCUAAGCUAAUCUCUUAAAGCUUCUCUCAGUUCGGAUUGCAGGCUGCAACUCGCCUGCAUGAAGCCGGAAUCGCUAGUAAUCGCGGAUCAGCA
rnacentral:rRNA from 1 species